rnacentral:misc_RNA from 1 species
GUCAUAAGCCCUCUGCAUGAAAGACGAAUAGAUUGCACAGAAAGGUUUAAUGCCUUCACAAGCCAAUCCAGCAGCAAAGGUUACUGCAUGUUGUUCUGCUAUUCCAACAUCAAAACACCUUGUUGGGAAGCGACGAUGGAAAAGGUUCAUUCCGGUCCCACCCCCCAUGGCAGCAUGGAUUGCAACAAUGUCUUUAUCUGCUUCUGCUUCUGCAAUUAAAGCCUCGGCAAAAUAUGUUGUAUAGGACUGUGUCUUGGCACUGGCUUUGAAUUGCUUUCCUGUUGCUGGAUCAAACUUGGCAACUCCAUGAUACUUAUCUGCAGCUCUCUCAGCAUAUGGAUAACCUCUGCCUUUCUCAGUGACAACAUGGAUCAGUACUGGACCUGUUGUUUUAGUACUUCUAACCUCUUUGAGAAUCGCAAUUAGAUCAUCAAUGUUGUGACCAUCCACAGGACCAAUAUAGUAAAGUCCAAGUUCUUCAAACAAUGUUGAUCCAGAACCACUAAUCAUGCCACGAGCAUAUUCAUCAACUUUUGCAGCAAGCUCAUGCAUAGGACCACCAAUCUGCUUAGUAACUCCCUUUGCGACUUCUCUUAGUUCUCUGAGAGGCCUAUUAGACUGUAACCUGCUCAAAGCACUACUUAGAGCUCCAACAGGAGCAACUGGCCCAUCCAGAGUAGCAGUAGGUAAAGAAACUUGUCUAUUGUCGUUUAAGAUAACAAUCAUGAAUAAUGCUGGUUACCUGGACUCUGA